rnacentral:rRNA from 1 species
GAUGAACGCUGGCGGCGUGCCUAAUACAUGCAAGUCGAGCGAACGGACGAGAAGCUUGCUUCUCUGAUGUUAGCGGCGGACGGGUUAGUAACACGUGGAUAACCUACCUAUAAGACUGGGAUAACUUCGGGAAACCGGAGCUAAUACCGGAUAAUAUUUUGAACCGCAUGGUUCAAAAGUGAAAGACGGUCUUGCUGUCACUUAUAGAUGGAUCCGCGCUGCAUUAGCUAGUUGGUAAGGUAACGGCUUACCAAGGCAACGAUGCAUAGCCGACCUGAGAGGGUGAUCGGCCACACUGGAACUGAGACACGGUCCAGACUCCUACGGGAGGCAACAGUAGGGAAUCUUCCGCAAUGGGCGAAAGCCUGACGGAGCAACGCCGCGUGAGUGAUGAAGGUCUUCGGAUCGUAAAACUCUGUUAUUAGGGAAGAACAUAUGUGUAAGUAACUGUGCACAUCUUGACGGUACCUAAUCAGAAAGCCACGGCUAACUACGUG